rnacentral:rRNA from 1 species
AGUGAACGCUGGCGGUAGGCCUAACACAUGCAAGUCGAACGGCAGCACAGUAAGAGCUUGCUCUUACGGGUGGCGAGUGGCGGACGGGUGAGGAAUACAUCGGAAUCUACUUUUUCGUGGGGGAUAACGUAGGGAAACUUACGCUAGUACCGCAUACGACCUACGGGUGAAAGCAGGGGAUCUUCGGACCUUGCGCGAUUGAAUGAGCCGAGGUCGGAUUAGCUAGUUGGCGGGGUAAAGGCCCACCAAGGCGACGAUGCGUAGCUGGUCUGAGAGGAUGAUCAGCCACACUGGAACUGAGACACGGUCCAGACUCCUACGGGAGGCAGCAGUAGGGAAUAUUGGGCAAUGGGCGCAAGCCUGAUCCAGCCAUACCGCGUGGGUGAAGAAGGCCUUCGGGUUGUAAAGCUCUGUUGUUGGGAAAGAAAAGCAGCAUGUGAAUACACCGAUGUUCUGACGGUACCUAAUGAGAAAGCACCGGCUAACUUCGUG